rnacentral:rRNA from 1 species
CGGAGGAUCCAAGCGUUAUCCGGAAUCAUUGGGUUUAAAGGGUCCGUAGGCGGUUUAUUAAGUCAGUGGUGAAAUCUGGUCGCUCAACGAUCAAACGGCCAUUGAUACUGAUAGACUUGAAUUAUUGGGAAGUAACUAGAAUAUGUAGUGUAGCGGUGAAAUGCUUAGAUAUUACAUGGAAUACCAAUUGCGAAGGCAGGUUACUACCAAUGGAUUGACGCUGAUGGACGAAAGCGUGGGGAGCGAACAGGAUUAGAUACCCUGGUAGUCCACGCCGUAAACGAUGGAUACUAGCUGUUCGGAGCAAUCUGAGUGGCUAAGCGAAAGUGAUAAGUAUCCCACCUGGGGAUACGUUCGCAAGAAUG